GACUCAAAAUAUCCUUGCUGAUUUUGUUAUUAAAACAUACCGUAUGUGUAUCUGGUUUAUCAACUUUCGAUGGUAGGGUAUUGGCCUACCAUGGUUGUGACGGAUAACGGAGAAUUAGGGUUCGACUCCGGAGAGGGAGCCUGAGAAACGGCUACCACAUCCAAGGAAGGCAGCAGGCGCGAAAAUUACCCAAUUUUAGUUCAAAGAGGUAGUGACGAAAAAUGACAACCAAAUAUUAUUAUUAAUAUUUGGAUUGAAAAUCUUCAAGUUUAAAUAACUUGUUGGUAAAGGAAAGGGCAAGUCUGGUGCCAGCAGCCGCGGUAAUACCAGCUUUCCAAUUUCGCUUCGAGA
rnacentral:ncRNA from 1 species